UCCGUAGGCGGGCAAUUAAGUCAGAGGUGAAAUCCCACAGCUCAACUGUGGAACUGCCUUUGAUACUGGUUGUCUUGAGUUACAGUGAAGUAGAUAGAAUAUGUAGUGUAGCGGCGAAAUGCAUAGAUAUUACAUAGAAUACCGAUUGCGAAGGCAGUCUACUAACUGUAUACUGACGCUAAUGGACGAAAGCGUGGGGAGCGAACAGGAUUAGAUACCCUGGUAGUCC
rnacentral:rRNA from 1 species